rnacentral:rRNA from 1 species
GAAAGCACCGGCUAACUCCGUGCCAGCAGCCGCGGUAAUACGGAGGGUGCGAGCGUUAAUCGGAAUUACUGGGCGUAAAGCGCAUGCAGGUGGUUUGUUAAGUCAGAUGUGAAAGACCCGGGGCGUCAACCUACGGAAUAGCAUUUGUAAACUAGGCAGACUAGAGUACUGUAGAGGGGGUAGGAAUUUCAGGUGUAGCGGUGAAAUGCGUAGAGAUCUGAAGGAAUACCGGUGGCGAAGGCCGGCCCCCUCGGACAGAUACUGACACUCAGAUGCGAAAGCGUGGGGAGCAAACAGGAUUAGAUACCCUGGUAG